rnacentral:rRNA from 1 species
UGGCCCUGGAUGGGGAAUAACGCUGGGAAACCAGCGCUAAUACCGCAUACGCUUAGCCCUUCACGGUUAAGUAAAGCUUUAUGCGCUUCAGGAGGGGCCUGCGCUCGAUUAGCUAGUCGGUGGGGUAAUGGCCUACCGAGGCUCCGAUCGGUAGCUGGUCUGAGAGGAUGAUCAGCCACACUGGGACUGAGACACGGCCCAG